UAUGACGGUACCCUUUCGAAUAAGAGGUUGCUAACUCUGUGCCAGCAGCAGCGGUAAUACAGAGACCUCGAGCGUUAUCCGGAUUUACUGGGCGUAAAGCGUCUGUAGGGGGUUUGUUAAGUUCCAAGUAAAAUCUUAAGGCUCAACUUUAAGUUCGCUUGGAAAACUAAUAAACUGGAGUCCAGCAGAGGUGCAUGGAACUUGCGGUGUAGGAGUGAAAUCCGUUGAUAUCGCAAGGAACACCAAAGGCGAAGGCAUUGCACUGGGCUGGUACUGACCCUGAGAGACGAAAGCGUGGGGAGCAAAACGGAUUAGAUACCCGUGUAGUCCACGCCGUAAACGAUGGAUACUAGAUGUUCGGGGAUUCGACCCCCUGCGUGUCACAGCUGACGCGUUAAGUAUCCCGNCUGGGAAGUACGGCCGCAAGGCUAAAACUCAAAGGAAUAGACGGGGAUCCGCACAAGCGGUGGAGCGUCUGGUUUAAUUUGAUAGUAAGCAAUGGACCUCACCAAGGUUUGACAUCCUAUGACAACCCUGGAAACAGGGCUUCCUUCGGGCAUAGUGACAGGUGCUGCAUGGUCGUCGUCAGUUCGUGCCGUGAGGUGUUCCGUUAAGUCGGGAAACGAACGAAACCCUCGUCGCAUGUUACAAAUUUCAUGCGAGACUGCCCGGGUCAACCGGGAGGAAGGCGGGGAUGACGUCAGAUCAGCAU
rnacentral:rRNA from 1 species